UACAGAGGUCUCAAGCGUUGUUCGGAUUCAUUGGGCGUAAAGGGUGUGUAGGUGGCGCUGUAAGUGGGGUGUGAAAUCUCGGGGCUUAACUCCGAAACUGCAUUCCAUACUGCGGUGCUUGAGGACUGGAGAGGAGACUGGAAUUCAUGGUGUAGCAGUGAAAUGCGUAGAGAUCAUGAGGAAGACCAGUGGCGAAGGCAGGUCUCUGGACAGUUCCUGACACUGAGACACGAAGGCCAGGGGAGCAAACGGG
rnacentral:rRNA from 1 species